GAACGGCAGCACAGAGGAGCUUGCUCCUUGGGUGGCGAGUGGCGGACGGGUGAGUAAUGCAUCGGGAUCUACCCAGACGUGGGGGAUAACCUCGGGAAACCGGGACUAAUACCGCAUACGUCCUACGGGAGAAAGCGGGGGACCUUCGGGCCUCGCGCGGCAGGACGAACCGAUGUGCGAUUAGCUAGUUGGUAGGGUAAUGGCCCACCAAGGCGACGAUCGCUAGCUGGUCUGAGAGGAUGAUCAGCCACACUGGGACUGAGACACGGCCCAGACUCCUACGGGAGGCAGCAGUGGGGAAUAUUGGACAAUGGGCGAAAGCCUGAUCCAGCAAUGCCGCGUGUGUGAAGAAGGCCCUCGGGUUGUAAAGCACUUUUAUCAGGAACGAAAUACCACGGGUUAAUAACCUAUGGGGCUGACGGUACC
rnacentral:rRNA from 1 species